rnacentral:snRNA from 1 species
AUACUUACCUGGCAGGGGAGAUACCAUGAUCACAAAGAUGGUUUUCCCAAGGCAAGGCUUAUCCAUUGUACUUCGGGUAUACUGACCCCUUUGAUUUCCACAAAUGUGGGGAACUCCAUUGCAUAAUUUGUGGUAGUGCGGGACUGCAUUUGCACUCUCCCC